rnacentral:rRNA from 1 species
AGCUCCAAUAGCGUAUAUUAAAGUUGUUGCAGUUAAAAAGCUCGUAGUUGGAUUUCGGGAUGGCCCGGCCGGUCUGCCGCAAGGUAUGUUACUGGCCGAGCUGUUCUUCCUCGCAAAGACUGUGUGUGCUCUUAACUGAGUGUGCAUAGGAUCUGCGACGUUUACUUUGAAAAAAUUAGAGUGUUCAAAGCAGGCUUUUCAAGCCCGGAUACAUGAGCAUGGAAUAAUGGAAUAGGACCGCGGUUCUAUUUUGUUGGUUUCUACGACCGCAGUAAUGAUUAAGAGGGACAAUUGGGGGCGUCCGUAUUUCGUUGUCAGAGGUGAAAUUCUUGGAUUUACGAAAGACGAACAACUGCGAAAGCAUUCGCCAAGAGUGUUUUCAUUAAUCAAGAACGAAAGU